rnacentral:rRNA from 1 species
CUACGGGAGGCAGCAGUGGGGAAUAUUGCACAAUGGGGGAAACCCUGAUGCAGCCAUGCCGCGUGUGUGAAGAAGGCCUUCGGGUUGUAAAGCACUUUCAGUUGUGAGGAAAAGUUAGUAGUUAAUACCUGCUAGCCGUGACGUUAACAACAGAAGAAGCACCGGCUAACUCCGUGCCAGCAGCCGCGGUAAUACGGAGGGUGCGAGCGUUAAUCGGAAUUACUGGGCGUAAAGCGCACGCAGGCGGUUUGUUAAGCUAGAUGUGAAAGCCCCGGGCUCAACCUGGGAUGGUCAUUUAGAACUGGCAGACUAGAGUCUUGGAGAGGGGAGUGGAAUUCCAGGUGUAGCGGUGAAAUGCGUAGAUAUCUGGAGGAACAUCAGUGGCGAAGGCGACUCCCUGGCCAAAGACUGACGCUCAUGUGCGAAAGUGUGGGUAGCGAACAGGAUUAGAUACCCUGGUAGUCCACACCGUAAACGCUGUCUACUAGCUGUGUGUGCCUUUAAGGCUGUGCGUASGAAGCUAACGCGAUAAGUAGACCGCCUGGGGAGUACGGCCGCAAGGUUAAAACUCAAAUGAAUUGACGG